AGUGAUGGAGUCUCUGAGCGCUAUGGCGGUGGCAGUGGAUCCCAUUUGGGAGGACGAGGAAGAGGAGGAGGAGGAAGAGGAGCUAGAGGAGAAGCAGUUUGUUCUUGUAGAAUUGUCAGGAAUCAUUGAUUCAGACUUUCUCUCCAAAUGUGAAAAUAAAUGCAAGAUAUUGGGAAUUGACACGGAAAGGCCCAUCAUGCAAGUGGACAACUACAUGUUUGCUGGGGAGUAUGAAGAUACGCUUGGUCCCUGUGUUAUAUUUGAAGAAGGUGUUGAAUGGGUGGAUCCAGAGGGGACUGAUAAGACGGUGCUGAAGUACAAGUGCCACACGAUGAAGAAGCUGAGCAUGACAAGGACGAUUCUGACAGAAAAGAAGGAAGGAGAAGAAAACAUAGAUGGUAUAGAAUGGCUGCAAAUGAAGGAUAAUGAUUUCUUCUAUAGACCCAACAUGAUUUGCAGCUUUCUCCAUGAACAUGAAGAUGAGGCUGCAGGGCCGGCCUCUGAUAAACCUGUGGAGCUGGAAAACCAAGAGAGUGAGAUGAAAGGCAGUGCGGAGCAGACACAGGAGCAGGAGAAGGUGGAGCACUCGGAAGUGGAGGACCCUGCUCCUUCAGGGGAGACCCCUUCUGAGAUGGAAAGUUCUGUUUUCAUGGGAACUCAAGAUGGAAAUGUUUCUCAAAACAAUCAGUCGUGAACUUUAAAGAAGUGGUCUUGUAUACAAUUACUGCUCAGCUGUGUCUGGCUCACCAUUCCGUGUUAUUGUGACAGUAUGCAUUUCCAGGUACAUCAGGAUUUAGUGUACCAGAGGAAUUCAGCAAGACCAUACAGGAAUUCAGCUUUUAGAACAUAAGAGAGAGAGCAUCAUAGUUAAAAUGCUCUUCCAGAGGACCUGGAUUCGAUUUCUAGUGUAUACGUGGCAGUUUGGAGUCAUCUGAGACUUCAGUUUCCAGAGAUCUGAUGCCUGCUUCUGGCCUCUGUCAGCCCCAGGUUCUCUCCUUCUACCUUUGUGGGUUCUGGGAAUUAAACUCAGGUCAUCAGGCUUGUGCAGCGAACACUUUACCUGUUGGGCCACUUCACAGCCCUCUCCACACACACCCCUCCUAAAAAUACUUAUGUGGGGCAGUUGGUGGCACACACCUUUGAUCCCAGCACUCCGGAGGCAGAAGCAGGCACAUUUCUGAGUUUAAGGACAGCCAGUCUACAAAAUGAGUUUCAAGAGA